AACGCACCUUGCGCUCCUUGGACAUUCCGAGGAGCAUGCCUGUUUGAGUGUCAUUAAAUUCUCAACCCCAGCAGCUUUUGUGGCUGGUCUUUGGGGCUUGGAUUGUGGAGGUUUCUGUUGGCCUUUGAAAGGUCAGCUCCUCUUAAAUGCAUUAGCGGAACCGUUUGUGAUCCGUCACAGGUGUGAUAAUUAUCUACACCCAAGUGGAUUGCUUUCUGUCUGUUCAGCUUACAAUCGUCUGUAUAGACAAAUUUAUUUUGAAAACUUGACCUCAAAUCAGGUAGGACUACCCGCUGAACUUAA
rnacentral:misc_RNA from 1 species